rnacentral:lncRNA from 1 species
CUCACUCCCACUGCAUACUCACGCUCUCCUAACCCUUAAUCCUCUUUCUACCUCUGGUCCACCACGAAGCUGCUUCUGGCUUUCCUCCACCGGGAAACCACUUCUCUACAAACCGCGUUUCGUUCACGCAAGAUGUGUUCUGCGAUUUGUUGGAUUUCAAGGUACAAAAGGUGACUACCACUUCUGCAAUACACGUUUCAAGGUGAUUUUUGUUGGAUGAAUUGGCGUUUCCGUUUCCGUGCUGUGUUUUUUACUGGAUCCACGAACUGAUUUUUUACAGGAUGAAAUUCAUUUCUCGGUUCAGUUAGAGGUUCAAAACGUCAACUGAUUUUCUACGGUGUUUUAAUCAUCUGCAACUUGCUUAUGGUUCUGAAAUUUUGCAAGAGUGCAACGCUAUUCCCAGCUAAGUUCUGAAAUCACGUCUACUGAUUUUACUGCUUUGAGAACGAAAUCAGUAUUAAAGUUUUAUAGCAGUUCAGGGAGAUGAUCAAGGAUUACUUCUGUUCCAAUUCCUGUAAGUUGCUUCUUACUCAUCAUCUUAACUCUAGGUAAUUUAUUGUUUGUUACGGUAUUUUAGGAAUUCCUUUUUAACUUUAGUCUGAAUUAAAUAUAGAUUUUUAAACCAUAUAUCAAUCUAGGUUUAAAAAACAGUGAGAAGUGGACUAAUUAGUAUUUCUUUAGUACUUGAAGUGCAGAGUAUAGUAAACACGAUGCAAGAAAAAAGAAAACAGAGAAGAAAAGAAGGACGAGGGAGAUAAAAAGAGAACGAAGAGGUGUGUUUUACGUUUUGAUGUAUCUGAUAACUCUUUUUGCAGCUUUCAUAUGUGUUUCGUUUGGACAGUGCAUGAACCUUGAAAGAAUACUCACAACAUUUAGGAUGUCAGGUCUGGUUGUUGUUAAGUACAUCAGACAACCUAUCAAACUUCUAAACUUAGAUUCAUUAACCUUGUCAGAACCAUCAUCUUUGAUUAGCUUCUCCUUUUGAUUCAUGGGAGUGUUCACAGUUUUGCAAUCUUCCAUCAGAAAUUUCUUGAGUAUUUCCUUUGCAUGUUUUCUUUGACUUAAGAAAACUUCAUCCUGAUUCUGUUUGAUCUCAAUGCCAAGAAAGUAUGACAUAAGACCAAGAUCUGUCAUUUCAAAGACCUUUUUCAUUUCCAGUUUGAACUGGUUGAUUUCUUCAACAUUGCUUCCUGUAACUAACAUGACAUCCACAUAAAGAGAAAUUACCAAAAUAUUUGUACCUUGAUGUUUGACAUACAAUGUGAGUUCAGAUUGGCUUUUAUGAAAGCCAAGGUGCACCAGAUGAUCAUCAACCUUGUUGUACCAGGCUCGUGGAGCUAGCUUUAAUCCAUAUAAAUCCUUUUUCAAAAAGUAGACUUUAUUUUCAUUGCCCUCAUUCACAAAGCCUUCAGGUUGUUCAACAAAAAUUUCUUCUUGCAAAUCUCCAUUUAAGAAUGCAGAUUUAACAUCCAAAUGGUAUACUUUCCAGCUCCUUUGAGCAGCAAGAGCAAGCAAUAAUAUUACAGUGUCAAGCCUGGCAACAGGUGCAAAUGUCUUUGAAUAAUCAACACCAAAAACUUGUGCAUAUCCUUUCACAACAAGUCUUGCUUUGAAUUUGUUGAUAGAACCAUCAGGACUUAGCUUGGUUCUGAAAACCCAUCUUACUCCAAUUAUUUUUCUGUUUAGUCGACCAACCAACUCCCAGGUUUUAUUUUUCUCAAUCAUAGAAAGCUCCUCCUACAUUGCAGCCAUCCAGUGUUGACUGUUUUUUGCAUCGUGAAAUCCUGCAGGCUCACAAACAGCUACAUUGCACCUUUGACAGAUGUCAGACAAUAGUCUUGUUCCUCUGACAGGUGCAUCAUCAACUGUAGCAUCAUCUUCAGAUUCUUCAGUCAUGCUCCCAAGGGUUGAACUGUUUGGAGCAUUUGGACUUUGAUUCACCUUAGUUGAACUUUCCCAAUCCCAUUGUUCAUUUUCAACAAAAUGAACAUCUCUGCUUACAAUCACACGACCAAUUUGUGGCUGAAAAAUUUUGUAAGCUUUGGAUACAGUGCUAUAUCCAACAAAGAUGCUUGCUUAUGCUUUUUUAUCAAGCUUAUCACGCUUGACCUGUGGAAUAUAAGUGAAGCAAAGACAACCAAAUAUUUUGAGAAAUUUUAAAGAAGGUUUGUAGCCAUACCAAGCUUCAUAUGGUGUCAGAUCUUUCAAGGCUUUUGUAGAAAUUCGAUUUUGUAGGAAUACAACAGUGUUUGUUGCCUCCCCCCAUAACCCUUUUGGAAGAUUCUUUUCAUGGAGCAUACACCUUGUCAUCUCCAUAAUGAAUCUGUUCUUCCUUUCACUGACACCAUUCUGUCGAGGAGUAUAUGGUGUUGUUAAUUGAUGUUGAAUUCCAGCUUCUUCACAAAAUUUGUUGAAAGCAUCAGAGGUGUAUUCCUUGCCAUUGUCAGACCUUAUAAUCUGAAUUGAGCAUCCACUUUCAUUUUCAACUCUGGUUUUGAAUUUCCAGAAUAUACUGGGAACCUCUAACUUUUGUUUCAACAUGAAAAUCCAACACAUUCUUGUUAGAUCAUCAAUAAAAAUUAUGUAGUAGAGGUUACCAUUUAAUGAAGGUGUUCUCUGAGGACCACACAAAUCAGUGUGCACCAGUUGCAGCUUUUUCGAGGCUCUCCAAGCUUGUUUAGGGAAAGGUUGUCUGUGUUGCUUCCCAAAAUUGCAGGCAUGACAAGGAGGAAUAUUAUCAUCAAUGUCUGCGAGUCCUUCAACUAGCUUCUUUGAUUGCAUCUGAAACAAUCCUUGAUGAUGAAAGUGCCCAAGUCUUUUGUGCCAAAUCUCAGUGGCACUAGCUCUGGACUUGAAGGCCAUUUGUUCUUUCUCCAUUGGAUUUAAAGCAAAGCUUUUUCCUUUCAUUUUGACAUUGAACAAGUCUUUGCCACUAGCAUCUCUAAUCAAGCACUGUUUAUUCUCAAACAACACUUUAUAGCCUUUAUCGAGUAGGUGGCCAACACUUAAGAGAUUUUGAUCAAUUUUAGGUACAAAUAAAACAUCUGAAACAAAUUUUGUACCUUCAUAGCUUGCUAUAGCUACUGUGCCUUUUUCCCUUGACUUCCAAGAGUUCACCAUUUCCAAUUCUCACUCUCUUAACUUCAGUGUUUUUUAAUUCUUCGAAAAGCUCCUUGUCAUAUGUCAUAUGAUUUGUGCACCCACUGUCAAUCAACCAGCUCUCACUUGAUUCUCUACUUGAGAAACAAGUGACCACGAACAAUUGAUCUUCUUCUUGACCAACAACUUGUGCAUCUACUUCUUGCACCUGACCUUUGACUUUGCAGAUCACAGCUUCAUGUCCAAGUUGAUUGCAUUUGGAGCAUUUUGCAUCGGGUCUUCUCCAACACUUGUAUGGUGGAUGACCUUUCUUCUCACAGUGGCGGCAAGGUGGGUAGGAUUUUUUGGAACCUUCUUCCUUUUUUAAGUUUUUCUUCUUUUUGUACCUGUUGUUGUCUUGAUGCUUGACAGGUAAAGCUCCUUCAAUCACCCCUUCUUGCCUCAUAGACCUUCUUUGCUCUUGUGCUUGUAAAGCAUUCAAGAGCUCUGUAAGAGAGAUUUUUGACAGGUCUUAGGUGUUCUCCAGAGUAGUAAUGGUGGCUUCAAACUUCCCGGGAACAGUGACCUGCAGCUUUUCAACAAUCCUAGAGUCAAUACACACAGAACCAAGUAAUCUCACCUUAUUGGCAAUGCUGAGAAGUCUGUCAGAGUACUCCUUCAUUGACUCAAACUCCUUCCUCUUCUGCAACUCGAAAUCCUGAAUCAAAUUCAGGACUUUCAUUCCACGAAUCCUCUCAUCUCCUGCAAAUUCACCCUUGAGGUAAUCCCAAAUUUCCUUUGUUGUUUUGAGGGACAUUAUUCGUGUGAAGAUCAUUUGAGAUAUAACUGCAAAUAGGCAAGCUUUUUCCUUUGAUUUUAUGGUUUUUUUCUCCUUCUAUGCUUUGAUUUGUGCAACAGUAGGAUUUGCUGGAAGUGGAGGGACUUCGUAAUCUUCUUCUACUGCUUCCCAAAGAUCCAAAGCCUUCAGAUAAGUCUCCAUACGAAUUGCCCACAUUUGAUAAUUGUCUCCAUCAAAGACUGGUGGUGCAACAGCUGAAAAACUUGAUUCUCCUUCCAUUUUGACCUCACAGAUCCCUUAAGAAGAGUGCUUUGAUACCAAUUUGUUAGUUUCAAAACAAAUAAUAUUUGAUUGAUCAAUUGAGAUGAUAUAUUAAAGUUGGAAAGUUGUGCAUUUGUACACAGAAUGAAUAAAGAUUGUUCUAAAAAACAGAAAAUAAAUAUGGUAACAAACCAAUAGUUAAAACAGAAUUAAUUAAUUUUCUAAAAAUCUGGAGACUUAUUCAAUAACAAAAAAAAGCUAACUUGUAGGAUGUUAAACACAUGAUCCUAACAAACAUUCUUAAAUAUCAACUUUUUUUUAAAAGAACUAUAGAAAAGGUUUCAUAAAACCAAUAAAAGAAGAAAGAGUUUGGUUACUGACUUACCACGUCAAAAACAGCCUUAAGUUAACU